rnacentral:rRNA from 1 species
UACGGAGGGAGCUAGCGUUAUUCGGAAUUACUGGGCGUAAAGCGCACGUAGGCGGCUUUGUAAGUUAGAGGUGAAAGCCUGGAGCUCAACUCCAGAAUUGCCUUUAAGACUGCAUCGCUUGAAUCCAGGAGAGGUGAGUGGAAUUCCGAGUGUAGAGGUGAAAUUCGUAGAUAUUCGGAAGAACACCAGUGGCGAAGGCGGCUCACUGGACUGGUAUUGACGCUGAGGUGCGAAAAGCGUGGGGAGCAAACAGG